AUCAAUACCACGGAGACUCCUUUCAAAGGUUUACACUUACUUCAUGCCCUGCUAGGAUGCCUGUGAAAGAAGAAUUUCCUGCUCAGCUUCAGUAGAGCACGGCAGAGCGGGCUGCUCACAGCUCUCACCACUGCACGAAGGAAUUUAUGUGUGCAGCUCUCCAGCAGCUCAGAUAUAUAACCCUGCAGAAUCAGAAUACAGCAUCAUCUAGCAUUUGUCAGAAGAAUUACUGUGUUUGUCUCCAUGUAGCUCCAAAGCUCUACAAAUGCAUGCAAUAACCACGCUAACGAUAGAAGUUCAUAGAAUUCACUGAGAAAAAUGGAAAAGACACAGAAUGUGUUCUUCCUAUGAUUUUAACUCAGAAGACAUUAUUUGUCAGAAAUUCCAUGGCUUCAAAAGGAAAGGAAAACUAAACAGCAACAGAAAGCUUGC
rnacentral:lncRNA from 1 species